rnacentral:ribozyme from 1 species
UUUCCCACUCUAUGGGGGAUUUCGUUUAAUGUAGCCAUCGAAAGAUGAGAGUCACAAGCCUCUAUAAAUACAGAGUGAACG